AGUUGAUGAAUAGGCUUAACCGCAAGGUUAAGGAGGAAAGGAGUCGAAAGAGAACACACGAGAAAGAGAGGGUAUAGGAAGAUGCACAGAUUCAAAGCCUUAAUUCUCAGGCGCUCUGUUCGCAUUCCUAACUUUCUUCCCCAUUACAGAAACCUCUGCUCUCAAUCUAGCGCCGUCGUUGAUAAUGAUUCUACUGAAAACCAAGUACUAGUAGAAGGCAAAGCUAGUUCAAGAACAGCUAUUCUCAACAGACCCUCCGCUCUUAAUGCUCUCAAUACUUCAAUGGGGGCUCGCUUGAAGAAACUGUAUGAAUCCUGGGAAGAAAAUUCUGAUAUUGGGUUCGUUGUAAUGAAGGGUAGUGGCAGGGCGUUUAGCGCUGGUGGAGAUAUUGCUACUCUCUAUCGUUUAAUAAAUGAAGGGAAGAUGGCUGAAUGUAAAGAAUUUUUUGGGACGUUAUAUAGUUUUAUAUACCUUCUAGGAACAUAUCUAAAGCCACAUGUGGCAAUUUUGAAUGGUAUUACCAUGGGGGGCGGAGCAGGGGUUUCAAUCCCUGGUACAUUCCGUGUUGCAACUGAUAAAACUGUUUUUGCUACCCCAGAAACUCAAAUUGGUUUUCAUCCAGAUGCUGGGGCAUCCUUUUACCUUUCCCAUUUACCUGGUUAUUUAGGAGAAUACCUGGCUUUAACAGGAGAGAGGUUCAAUGGACCAGAAAUGAUUGCUUGUGGGCUUGCUACACACUAUUCACUCAGUGCAAGGCUACCUUUGCUCGAAGAGAGACUUGGUACAUUGGUAACAGAUGAUCCUUCUGUUAUAGAAGCUUCUCUAGAGCAAUAUGGUGACCUUGCCUAUCCAGAUAAGAGGAGUGUUAUUCACAGUAUUGAAACAGUUGACAAGUGCUUUGCCCAUGACACUGUUGAGGAAAUUAUUGGUGCUCUUGAAAAUGAGGCAACCAGAUCAUAUGAUGAGUGGUGUACUUCAACUCUAAGGAAAUUAAAAGAAGCCUCACCUUUGAGCUUGAAGGUUUCCCUAAGAUCUAUACGAGAAGGUAGGUUUCAGACUCUUGAUCAAUGCUUAGUCCGUGAGUAUCGGAUGUCUCUUCAAGGGAUCUCUAAACAGAUUUCCAGUGACUUCUGUGAGGGGGUUCGUGCACAAUUGGUGGAUAAGGACUUUGCCCCAAAGUGGGAUCCUCCAUGUUUGGAAAAAGUAACCAAGGACAUGGUAGACAACUACUUUUCACCACUUAGUGAACUCGAGCCUGACCUAGAGCUACCCAUAAAACUGCGAGAAGCGUUUACGUGAUUGGAGGUAUGCUAAAGAUAUAUGUACUGGGGUGGGGCAUAGCCCAGAAGAGGAAGAUGCAAAUGUAUUUUGCAGAUGCAGAUUUAUGGCGGUCUUCUUUCUUUGGGAGGAAUAAAUUGGUAUAACCUAUUAUUGGGUCUGGUGAAGAGAAGUUGAUUAUUCUUUGUAACACUUGCAUUACAUUUUAUUUUUGGCUUUGGUAAAGUACUGAUGAAUUCAUACAUCUAUACAUGUAUCUUUCACUUGUGAUAAAUUAUGAUGAUCAAGGAGAAAAUACACCAAAAGGAAAGGGUUGUUUUGUUGAACGUGGCAAUUGUUUUUGUUUUGGAAAACAAAGUGGCCAAGAGUUGUGAAAAAUUCUCUUAUCCAUACUUUAAUACCAUAUUCAAUCUCCAUUGCCAAUGACAACUUCUAGCAAGGAGUAUGGAUUCAUUAUUGAAGCUGAAGCAGCAAAACAUGGUGAUGGUGUUGAUUGUUGAAGCACCAUUAUUGGUUGGGGCGUCAGAUCUCUGCUUGCAAGGUUGUUCUAUUGGUUCGACAAAUGAGUUCAGUGCAAAAUGGAGUUGUCUCAGUUAAAACCGAUUGACGAAGAUAAGAGUGUUGUGUUUCGUAUAUCUUGGGGAAGGCAGGCAAAUGUAUCUUGUAAAAGCAAAGUUACUGCAAGUUCAUA